AUGGUCGUAAGCGACCCGUCUUGAAACACGGACCAAGGAGUCUAACAUCUGUGCGAGUGUUUGGGCGUCAAACCCAUGCGCGCAAUGAAAGUGAACGUGAGGUGGGAACCCUUUCGGGGGCGCACCAUCGACCGAUCCAGAUGUCUUCGGAUGGAUUUGAGUAAGAGCACAGCUGUUGGGACCCGAAAGAUGGUGAACUAUGCCUGAAUAGGGUGAAGCCAGAGGAAACUCUGGUGGAGGCUCGCAGCGGUUCUGACGUGCAAAUCGAUCGUCAAAUUUGGGUAUAGGGGCGAAAGACUAAUCGA
rnacentral:rRNA from 1 species